CGAAAUACCACCAUUGUAGAGGAAAGAAAAGCUUCAAGCAUUCUUAAACAUUUUGCCCUUGCAUGUAAGUGUUUUCAAAGCUAGUUUUUUGUAAAUUUUAUAUUUUUGAAAUCAUUGUAACUUGAUCUAGCUAACUCGGGUACUAAAUCACAAAACUAUUAAAGUUUUGAAAUGUUGUCAUUUUAUGUUUUUUAUGUUAAAUGGCUUGGUUGUAAGCUUAAAAAUGAUUAAGGAAUAAAUUGUAAAGUGAAGUUUGUUAGUUUUGAGUUUAGGGACUAAAAUGAAAAUAGUUGGAUUCAACUUGAAAUUUCUGUAAUUAUAUAAUUUAGAGGGCUGUAGAAGGAUGUAAUUGAAAAUGAACCAAGAUUCGGUUUCUUGGACCAAGCAUUUCAAGACUUGAAAUCUUGAUUUUCUUGAUUCUUGAAAUCACUUGAAAUAAAAAAAUUAAACUAAAAUUCAGUUUCUCGAUUUUCUUGAAAACAAGAAGGUGAAUCUUGAUUUCCUUUUCUCUUUGCAUAUGCUUUUGAAGCCUUUGUAACAAAGUCUUGGACAAUCUCAUUUAAUCUUUCCUUGAUUUGCUUUGCUGUUGACAUUAUUAUUGGGGCAUUGAGUUAAAGAAAGUCCAUCACAUCUCUGGCCUGAGACACACCUUAUUAAAAGCUUAAGCUGUAAAUGAAUAUAUGAUCAUAAUAAAUAAAAUAAUAAGUUUCAAGUUAUUUAAAAUAUUUUUAACCCUUUUUUUUCUUAAUCAAAUUUAGAGCGUAACGAAAAGUGAAAAGUAAAGAAUAUUAAUUAAAAAAUUUAAGAAAAUAUUCCCAAAAUUAAGUUUACAGUACUGUUUUGCCCUAGGGGUAAAGUUUUUUUUUUUAUUAUUAUUUACAAAAAGAGGUUCAUUUCAUAGAACAAUAGUCAUAACAGACAGGGCAACAAUGGCAUUUAGCCAAAGAAAAUGGUUCCCAACAAUCAAGAUUUCAAACAUAAGUGGUCAACCCCUCCAAAAGUAGAAAAAGAGGAGGAAUCAUCACCAAUCAGUUAGGCGUUAGCCAAUGUAGAAAAUUAGUGCGUAUAAUCCUUAUUAUUGAGCUGCCUCCUUUUCCAUUGAAGACCUUGCUUACAAGAGAGGGAGAAAAAUAGUAAAGCACAAGAUAGAGCCAAACAUCAACAAUCGAAAAGCCAAGAGACACCGGAAGAACGAAGGUAUAGAGCCACCUCAAACAAACUGAAAUCAACCACCAGCGACACCAAACCUGGAUUUGUAACCAUACAACGAUUGAAGCGAUAGAGAUCUUGGAAUCUGUCGAAACAAAACAACAAAGCAACAUCUUGAGGCUUUUGGUGCCGCCAACCAUCUACCAUCCAUAGUUACAGCAAAAAACUUUCACCAGAAGCAAGGAACAUCACAGACGUCAAAAGACCACACCUAUCUCUUUUUAACACCGCUCAGGAGAGAGAGAUGAGCCAUAAAAACUCAAAAGAGGCCUCCAAAGGGGUUAUUAAACUGAGACGAGGACAUCAAAAUGACAAAAAAAAAAAAAGAAUAAGGUGAGGGAUGACCAACCAUUGACGACAAGUGAUUGGUCGUCUAAAGGCGAACAAAGUUAAAAGGAAGUUUUGAGCAAUGCUUAAGGUGAGAGAGAAGAAUGAGUUUAGUAAGAGAGAAAAGAAUGUUGCUUCUCCCAUUAAUCAAAAUUGAAUUUUAUGUUAAUUAAUUUAGUUUUUAAGUUUUAAAGGGUUAGCAUUUUAUUUAAUAUAUAGGGUUAGUAUUUGAUGCAUUUUACUUUUUUUUAUUCCACAAGUAGUCUUAAAAAAUUAUUAUAUGUCUCUCUUUUUUAAAUAUUUAUUUUUUUAAUAUUUU
rnacentral:lncRNA from 1 species